GUCCCUGUAGCGUAAUGGAUAGCACGUUGAACUUCUAAUCCAAAAGUCGUGGGUGAAUUCGAAUCCCAUCUGGGAUG